GUGCUUUCCUCCCCACUUUCUUUUUUUCUCCAAAGGAAAUAUCAUAAGCUCUUUUAGAAAUACUCACAGGAAGUGAGUAUCCAUAUGCUGGUUACUCGCCGGCAGCUGAGCGUUGACAGGUGGAGAAGUGUUGCUGCCAUCGCUCAGAUUUCUUUGAACCUUUGCGCCGGAGCAGGGGAAUAUUCAGGGCGUACAGACCGAAGGAUUUUUGUGUACUGAGAGAGUUACAAGAGGAAAUUGGUCAUCGCGCGUCAUCUUGGUGGUGGUGAUUCAGGAAGCUGUGAUGGGGGGUCUGCAAGGCACGUGGCUGCCGCCGGCGCUGAGGUUUCUGCUCACUUCUCAGAGGGCGGGCUGUCUUCUAAAAAUUAACGCUCCCUCCACUGCCAGUGAUUCUUCUGCAGUGAGUCACUUCCAGAAAUGAAUAGCCACGGUUUUUUUUUGGAAUGAAUGUUGUGAAAUCCCUCGUUUAUAAUGGCAGGUUUUCAGUUGGUGGUUUUAUCAGAGAGAAUGUCUCAAGAUCAAAACGAAACCUCCUCUUUAAAAGGAAAGAAAGUACUCUCGAUACAGAAAGCAAAAGUACUUCCAGUCUCCUCCUGACGCGCUGUCGCGGAAGGUCUGUGUGCCUGCGUGUGGCGACACACGCCCGAGUAUUAGUACUUGCCUACACUGUAGGAGUCCUUGGAAUUACGGAUUCGUUGCUAGUAGCUGAUUGAUCUCCUGUGAAGAAGGUCGCUAACUACAAGAAAUGUUACGUGUGGUGAGUAGGUGGUGGAUUCUGAAGAUUGUUGCUAACCCAGGGCUCAUCCUCUUUUGAGUCAUGGAUUCAGAGGACUGCUAGCAAGCUCUUAAAUACUUCUGCUUUGUAUGAUUUAGUGGAUGGAACUGCAGGACUCAUAGAAGCCUGUGAAAGGUUUUCAGAACAUGGAUUAAUUGAAUAAUCGUUGAAUCUUUUGAAUAUACUAGUCCCUUUGAGGAAGAAAGGCUAUUUUACUGACGGAAGCCAUUUGUAAGGGGCUUUUAAAAGUUUAAAAAGCCCAGUUACUGCAGUUACUGCCCAUCUGUAUUUAUUUUAACUAUCACUCCCAUCUUCUUGUGUGAAGGAAAUGACUAUAUGGUUUCAACAAAGAAAAAGUUUUGCCAACUCUUUUUAACUGAAGAAACUUCAUCCACGUGUUACUCCUAACUGGAUUUUUGUCUUCCUGACUAUCUGCAAGGGGAAACUACCCCAU
rnacentral:lncRNA from 1 species